UUCCAUCAACGAAAAAAAGCUUGACUUCAACAACAACAGUACACCAACACGACAACCAUCGACGAUCACCCAUCAACGACCAAAAAACCAAUCAACGCCGAUCCGACCCAGCAACCCGAAUCCAACCCGUUUCCCUUUCCUCUUCGUCAUCACGCGCUUUCCAUGCACUUCGGUGUGAAGAACAUGAGCCUUCUAGAAGAUACCGAGGUGGCAGCCAAGUCUCGGUUCAAUCAAAUGCUCCAAAAAAAUUUUAAUUUCAAGUCCUUGGAAUUGUACCAUGAAGGUACGCAUGUGCUCCUUUUUCAUUGGUUGAGAAGAAAAUUCAUUUUCUCCAUAUUGCCAAUUUUGAAAUUCUUCAACAAAAUCCAAAAUUUUGGUACGAUCUGUUAGCAAAAAGAGAUUAUCCUCAUUUUUGAAUUUCGAAUUCCCCCUGGAAAUCAGUUUUGUAUUUUUUUCUUAGGGAUUUUCAUUGAUUCACCCUUUGGCUUCGAAAGAGACUCGAAAGGGGUAGGAAUCAAGGUCAAAAAUCAGUUUUGUAUUCUUUUUCUUGGGGAUUUUUCAUGGAUUCACCCUUUGGAUUCAAAAGAGACUCGAAAGGGGUUGGAAUCAAGGUUAAAAAUCAUUUGUAUUCUUUUCUUGCGAAUUUUUCAUUGAUUCACCCUUUGGCUUUGAAAGAGACUCUAAAGGGGUUGGAAUCAAGGUUAAAAGUCAAUUUUUGAUCCAUCUUCGCGUGAUUUGAACCUUUUUGUGAAUUACUUUAAGUAUUAGCAUUCUUAUUCUUGGAAGUUUUUCACCGAUUCACCCUUUUAUCUUCAAAGGAAACUCAAAAGGGGUUAGAAUUGAAGUUAAAAUUAGUUUUGCAAAGUGACCCAUCUUUAUUUUGAUGUUAGCUGGUUUGCAUUUUCCUUUUGUUCCCUUUCUUAAAUUGUUCAAAGUCAGUGCUCUCAUACUUGAGAGUUUUUCGCUGAUUUACUUUUUUGAUUUCUUUUGGAAACUGGAAAGGGGAAUUAGAAUAAGUGUUGCUGACGAACCAAUUCAUGUGCAUACAGUGAUGGUAUAUCAAUUCGAAAGAAUAAUCUCUUUUGAUCUUACUAUUUGAUCUUAAAAAAUUUCUUCAUGAAAGUCUUUACCUUUGCUGCAUUAAAGCUUUAGAUUUUUUAGGACUGACUGCAUCUUGUUGGUGUGUUUUUGGAUUAAAUUUCCAUUUAAUAAUCAACAUUGUUUGGGCUUUCCAAAUUAUGUGAAUACACAGUCUCUUCGAAAGUCUGUCGAUGUUUGUUCAUAUCGAUGUGAGAGGCGCAUAUAUGGGGGGAGAAUUAAUAUUGAUGGGUUUUCAUUUCUUUGCUGCAAAGUCUCAAUUUUUUCUUAAAAAAAAUGUUAUUGAGUUUGAAUUUUAUGUGAUUAGACGUAAGGUUCAUAUUCAUUCCCAGUUCAAUCAUAUUUCUGUUGCUUUUAUGUGUUCAUGCUAUUUUGAGUUUUUAUUAGGAUUGAAUAGUGAAUGUUUGUUAUGUAUAGUCCUUGUUGACACUUAUUCAUAAACGUAAAGUAGCAAACUUUGGCUUCUCUUUGUGUUUCACUUUGUAUUUUGAUCAUGCUCUUGAAAUAGAAAUUGCUAGUCCACAAUUAUAACCUUUUUCAAGUAGUAAACUGGAUUGUAUUAGGUAUUAGGAUAAGAUGGAGGCAACUUUUUUUUUUCUUAGAAAGUAGCAGUAAGGUGGAGACAACAUUUGAAGGAAAUUCCUUUUUUUUUUUAGACGAAUAUGAGUAUCUUGCUUAUGAUAUUAUUGGAUGUGUUAAAUUAUAUGGUAUCUUGCUCUUUUCCUACGCCUACGCCUACUAUUACUAUACAUUACCUUGUAUCUUGUUCUUUUUCCAUUACUCAUAUCACUAUGUGAUGUUUUUAAACUUAUCGAAUUAUGUGAUUUGAAUUCUAAUUUCUUGCAUUUUCUUUCUUUAUACGUUAAUCUGUUUUGGAGUCCACGCUGGACUCCUUCCCAUUGCAUUAUCCAGUGGGCCAGUGAGGCCCAUGUCCUCAAGGUUUAAUUCCCAAAAGUGAUCUUAUGGCAUACCAGUAUAAGAAGAUAGAAGCGACAAAGUUACUUGGAUUUGGAAGCUCAAAAAGCCUCAUCCUCUUUAGUUUAUUUAACGUUGUGUUGCUUGUUUUUAUUCAUCUAGUUAUUUAUUUAUUCAUUCAUUUGGGGCCUCGAAGUCAAAGUUGUAAAUUUAAUACAGGUGGAAUAGAUUUUGGGCCAACGGGCCUAAAAAAUAGUUUAGGACAGGUUACGGGCCAAGGCCCAACAUUUAGAUUAAGACAGGUAAAAAUGGGCCGAAAAUCCAACUAGAUUAGGACAGGGUGAUGGAUUUGGGCUUAAGAGCCCAAAUCAUUUAUUUCUUCUUCCUCCCUUUCCCCUUUUAUGUGCUUAUUUACCUUUCAUUUGCUUAGACUUGGUUAAAUCUCCUACUAAGUCGUCAAAACUUACUUUUACACAAAUUGUUUCCUAAAAUCAAUCAUUUUUCAACAAAUCAAUCUUUUUGAAGUUAGUUAAAAGAUAUUUUCAAACAGUUCGGAUAACAGCAAGUUAGCGAACGUUUUAGGUGCCUUAAACCUUCCUAAAACGUUAAUAGGAACUGCUUACUCAGAAUUUUUAAAUUUUUAAAUAAUUUUUCUAUUUUGGAUCAUUUAAAGUAUCUUAUAAAGGUUUCUUAAUUUCUUUUUAAAAUUAAGUGUGAUUUUUCAAAAGUUAAAAUUUUUGCAAAACAGAAAUAGCGACUCCGUUGGGAAUUUUAACUAGGUUCUGCCUUUUUGACCAACUGUUAUAGUGUUUAUGUGCUCAUAUGUUUAAACUUGGAGAUGCUUUUCAUAGCAUAUUUCCCAUUUGAAAUAUAAAUUGUUUGGUGUUUCGUGGAUGUCCCGGUUCCUGUUGUUCAACACCAAAUAAAGUGUUGGAAAUAAGACGAUUUAUUAGCACGUGAGGCGUCUGAUGGUUGUUCGUAUUUUCAAACUUAAGUCGUCCGCUUGGGAACCUGGUUCAAAUCCACUUUAGAUACCUAGGAUAAAACUAAACCAAAACUUUUUUUAGGCAUAAGCCUAGGAUGACUCAAUACUCGAAGGGGGUAUUAGGCCUAUUAGAAAACUUGCCCUGCUUCUAUUGGUCCCGAGUCAAUUACAGCCGAAUCAUAUUUAUGUGUUGAAGAAAUAUAUGUUUGUUUAAUUCAAUCCAUUAUCCUUUGGGGGUCGGGAGAAGGCUUGCUUUGCUUACUUUCGUGUAGGAUGCCUCAAUCAUAUACCAAUUGAAGAAGGAAUAGAAGCAAGCCAAGAAAGAAAUUGAUCGAUUUGGAUGGUUGCAUCUAGAGCACAGUUAUACGGAAAUAACUUGAUCAUCAAUGGAUGUCUCCAAUAAUAAGAAGUAGACAAAACUAAGAGGGCAAAGGCCGAUAGAAGAGCAUUCAAGAACUAGUAUUUCCUAUCCCCUGCGCGGAACAUUAUUCUUUUUCUCAUGUUAUUUUCCCUUUUCCUAAAGAUUGUAUCCCUCUUUUGUUAUCUUUUGUAAGCAUUUAUGUCCUUUUACAUAUCUAUGAAAGUUUGGGGGAUAAUGGAUUGACUUUAACAAGGAAUAUAUUUUCUUCAAAAUUCGUUAGGCCCAAACCCUUGGCUCAAAAAGGGUCACCCCAAUUAGGAUGCACGUUUAUUAUAAUAUGCUUAUAUAAUAUAACUGUUUAUAUGCUUAUACGUGUUAUGUUGAUUCGAAUUAAAGGCGAAUUGAUCCAAUCCCAUUUCCAUAGAACAUCUUUAGGCAGAAAUAUAUUCCACUAUACAAAAGUUCGAUCAAAUGUACUCCAAGUCUCCCAAGUUUCUCAGAAAAGUCCGCAACCAUUCUUAAAACUUCCAAAAUGAUCGCUACCAUUUUAGUAAAGUUGACUUUGAAAUCAGAAAAAGCCAUUAUAAUUUCAAACUACGUAGGGCCUGAUUUCUCCUCCGUAAGGUACGUAGGCAGCCUUUUGGCCCGGCUCAUAUCUCUAAAAGCUUUGUUGUCCUUCACUUUUUUGAAAGAAGUAAUAAGGCCAGGAAGUGGAAAAGUUGAGCCUUCCUGAAAAAUUCCACCUAUACAUAUCAUUGAGCAAAAUCUUUUUCAUUGAAAUUCUCAAGUCAUCAUUACUUCAUGGAUCAAUUUGCAUGAGAUGAGAAACAACUCUAUAUGUUUACUUCCUACCUUAUCAUCUUGUUUUGCUUAUUACUAUCGGAAUCUAACACGUCGGUCUUUGAGUUGUUUUUACUUUGUAGGUAAUAGAAACUACUCUGUGUUGGCACAAAAUGGCCUUACUUCACUAGAUCAAAACGAAUAAGAGAUCCCUUUUUUGACUAUAGCUUUGAUACAGGAAAAGAAAAAUGACUAGUAGUAAAACUGGACUCUACCAAUCAUUUUUCAAACCUGUAAACAAUGGUCUCGAGGAUGGGAUAAGAAAAAUAUGAGGGAAGAGGUUUCCAAGACAAUCGGGAUCAUUGAAUAUUAAUUGGAGGAAACAUUGUUGAAUUGGACCUCCACUCUACCCAUGACUCUUCGCGCAUCAUACAAUAAUAACUUAAAACUUGUCAUUGUCAUGUAAUGUCAAGAAUCAAGAUAAUGAUGAAUGAGAGACAAUAUCCUUAGAACAGUCAACAGAAGAGUCAAAAAGUUUGAGAUUCAAAGAAGCCUAAUCUAGAUAAAAUUGCGGUGGUUAACUAGGAGGGCAAUGACUAAGGGAAUUGGACAAUUGAUUCUUCGUUCUAUCAAGACAAAGACAAUGAAAACUUCAUGGAAGUUCUUAUUUAUAUCCUAGUAAGAUGGAUAAUAGUAUUCAGGGCCAUUUAACCCUGAAAAUUCUUUUUAUGUACGAACUACGUUUGACCUGAAUUUUCAAGAAAGGGAUACAUAGGCGGCCUAUGUCGGCUUUGGUCAACCCUUUAGGAAAAUUUAUUCUUUCCUUUCAUGUCUGAACUACAUUUGACCUGAAUUCUCAAGAAAGGGAUAUGUAAGCGGCCUAUGUGAGGUUCGUUAACCUCGUAGGAGAUUUAUCAAUUUCUUUUAUGUUUGAAGUACGUGAUGACCUGAAUUCUCAAGAAAGGGAUACGUAGGUGGCCUAUGUCGACUUUUGUCAACCCAAUAGAUUUUGUUAUAUAUCCUUAACGUAGUCUUGAACUAUGUUUGACCUGAUUCCUACUUCAACGGGAUACGUAGGCACCCCAAUGGCUCGGUUAUAUAAUCCCAAAAAAUAGAAACUGGGGCAGAAUUUUUGAGGAGGAAUCUAAAAAAUUCACAAGAGGAAGAUCAUCUUCCAAAAAUAAAGAGAACGAAGACUAACAAAGACUUUGGAUCCUCUCGAGUUUAGAUUGUCUCAAACAACUUUAAACUGGGGCAAAAAUUUUGAGGAGGCCCUCAAAAUUUAAACUAAUAUAUUGGAAUAUGUUUCAAAUCCCCCAGCACCAAAGGUCAAAGUCAAGUUUUGGAAAUCAUUAGCUGCUACGAAGUCUAGGUAGACUAAUUCUUCAGCUAUGAUAGAACUUUUUGAAGAAACCUCCAACAAUGAUGAUGAGUUUGGAAAAUCCUCCAUCGAACAUCGGAUACAGUCAGAACCAGGAGAAAGAUGUCCAUUGAGCUAGCACAUGACAUGAAUGGCAAAGAUUUUUUGAAUCUUUUACAGAAUUUUUGAAACUAGUUUUUAAAAAUUAAGACUACUUUCAUAAAUCUAUACAAAUCUUUUACUUAGUAAUUGCGAAAGCAUCUAUUGGGAUGGGGAGUUAGGGUGGAAGACCCAACAUGACGGAGUACUCAAAAGAUGGCGAAGAGCAAAUCAAGGAUAGAAGAAGGUCAACACAGAGUAGUUUCACUCAAACAUAAUCAUUUUUCUGUGAAUGCAGUGAUAAGUACACAAAAUGGGAAUCUUUUUCAAAAUAUUCCAAACAAGUUGCGAGCCACACCAGAGCAUAGAAUUCUCAAGAAUGGUAUUUUUGGGGAUCCCCAAAAAUGAAUUUAUACUCAUUUAUCGAGGACCUUUUGAAUUGUCUAUCUCAUUUCUUGAGACCAUGAAGGACAGACAAAGGCGUCUUAUCUUCUUUAUGAAUAUUGUAUUUAGAUUUUCUUAAAAAAUAGUCGCUAGCAAAAAUGACUUUAUGUCUACUAAAUAUUUACCUUGAGCGCAGGUACAUUAAAGAGAGUCGACACAAUAAAUACAACAAUCAAAAGGAUUACUCAAUAGGAGGAAGAGUCAAAAGUCAUCCUCAAAAUUCGCCUUGAAGCAAAACAAACGGUAUUUGAGUAAUCUCCGAACAAGAAUUUUACCCCAUUUACUUGCAUUUGGUGGAUCUGUUAUUUAAUUAUUUCUUUAAAGAAGAGAAGAUUAAUAGCAGAAUACGUCAUUCAAAUUAUGAUGCUUAGUAUUUAUCAUUAAACUGUCAUAAAGAUUGAUUUUGGUUGUCAGUGAGAGCGACAUCGUGUCUGCUAACUGUCUACCUUGAGUACAGGUACAUGCAGAAAGAAAAAUGUAGACAAGCGGACUCAGUUGAAACUAUUUUCCAAUCACUGGAAGAACUAAUUCAUAUCAUUACCAAGAGGGUUAUUUAUGUCAUUGCCAAGAGGGUCAUUUCAUGCCAUUGUCGAGAGGGCUAUUUCAUGUCAUUGUUGAGAGUGUCAUUUUAUAUCAUUGCCAAGAGGGCCAUUUCAUGCCAUUUUCAAGAGGUUUAUUUCAUUUCAUUGUCAAGAGAGACAUUUUAUGCUGCCGAGAGGGCUAUUUCAUAUCAUUGCCAAGAGGGCAAUUUUAUGCCAUUACCAAAAAGGCAAUUUCAUGUCAUUGCCAAGAGGGUCAUUUCAUGCCAUUGAUGAGGGAGCCAUUUCAUAUCAUUGUCAAGAGGGUCAUUUUAUUCCAUUGCCGAGAGGGCCAUUUGAUAUCAUUGUCAAGAGGGCCAUUUCAUAUCAUUGCUAAGAGGGCUAUUUCAUGCCAUUGCCAAGAGGGCUAUUUUAUAUCAUUGCCAAGAGGGCCAUUUCAUGACCUUGACGAGAAGGCCAUUGUAUUUAAUAUCUGUUGACACGCGAGAUAUCAUAUACUGUCGUCCAGGAUAUCAUCAAUAUUUAAUAUCUAUUGACACGUGAGAUAGCAUACGCUGGCGUCGAGGAUAUCAUCAGCAUUCAAUAUAUGUUGACAUGCGAGAUAGCAUACAUUGGCGUCGAGAAUAUCAUCAGCAUCUAAUAUCUGUUGACACGCGAGAUAGCAUUGUUAGCAUCGAGGAUGUCAUCAUCAUCUAAUAUCUGUUGACACACAAGAUAACAUACGCUGGCGUCGAGGAUAUCUCAUUAUUUUAUAAAUCAGCAUCUGAAUGCAUCAAAAGCAAAUGAUUCAAAGGAAUGUCUGUAAGUCGCUAUCUGAAAGUAAAUGACAUGAGAUUUCUUUGAAAUUGACAAUUUAAGAAUCAUCUAUAAGUAAUAUUAUUUGAAAUAGGAUAGUGUGCAAGAUUACCUUUGAGUUGAUAGCCCAUAGGUCAUCUGUAAGCCACAACAACAUCCUAAUUAGAUAGUGUGCAAGGUUACCCAAAAAUUUAAAGUACGAAGGUUAUCCAUAAGUCGCAACUAAAUCCUUACUGGAGGAUAUGUGAGAUUAUCAAAUUGAUAAGUCCAAGGGUUCUCUAUAAGCCGCGUCACAUUCAGGAUCGAGUAUAUGCAGGAUUACCCAAGGACUAAUAAUUUGAGAGAUAUCUAUAAGUCAUAUUAUAUCCAAGGUCAGAUGAUGUGCAGGAAUACUUAAGAGGUAGCGAUUGGAGGGGUAUCUGUAAGUCAUCUCUUAUUCGAGGUCGGAUAAUGUGUAGGAUCACCUAGAAGCUAGCAAUUCAAAGGAUAUAUGUAAGUCGCCUAAUAUCCAAUAUCAAAUAAUGUGCGAGAUUUUCCAAAGAUUGACAAUUCAAGAGAAAUCUAUAAGUCGUAUCGAUACAAAAGAUGCGCAAGACUUAUCCAAGGUCACAUGCAAAGAUUAUUGUCAAUAACCAGAAAGGUUAUCAUAGGCAACCAAAAUGGUUCAUCACACGAUUGAAGGGAUCGUUCUGCAUAAAGUAUUGUCGUGUCCAAAAAGGCUACCUCACCUUGAAGGCAUAUUCACUCGACAAAUAAGAUAAUUAUGCAACAACCAAGAGGGUUGUUAUGUAUGUUAUUGCAAUUUAUUUCCUUCCGACAGGUAUAUGAGAGGAUGACUUCACUUUUUAGGCGGCAACUCACGUGGAGAUAUGAUAAAAGACUAUAUACCUCUUUCGUGAAUUAUGUUUAGCACUAGCACUUUUUAUUUAAAACAUUGUCGAGAAUAUCUAAGAGGAUGAAAAUCUCAAAUCAAAAACAUAGGUGCAGACGACUCCAGUUAGGAUGUAGCACAACGUGGAACUCUUUCUUAGUAGCAAAAUGGGACAUAGUCUAAAAAGAGAUGUCAAACUCUUUGGAUGCGAGCUAAAGGAUGAUCGCCACAACCAUCCAACCACACCCCUGUUAGAAGGCAUGUGGGAAUUUUGGGAUAUUCUGGUUUCAACUUCACCUUCGGGAUAUUUCUAAGCUCAUAUCGAGGGUAAACUUCUCUUUCAUUCAAAUUCAAGUAAUAGUACACCUACUAAAGUCUUGAAAAUUAUGUCAAGGUAAAUUCUUACCUAUGGAUGUGAAGAGUUCCUGUAACACACCGUAAAAUUCCAGAGUCCUUAAAGCUUCUAAAGCAUGCCAAGAAAGGCUUAACACUUAAAAAAUUUGGCUAAGUGUUGAAACUUUUCCAUUCCAUAAGCCUUUGAAACUUUGAUGAAUUAUUUUGUGACCUUCCCGACCUCCGUUUCUUGAUUUUCUUAUUGCUUGCGAUGGGGCAAAUCAAGAGUACAUCUCGGGUGAGUUUCAAAAUUUUUAGACGAGCCUAAGGUCAUGUUUGGGUUGGCAAAAUAGUAGCUAAAGGCUACAGAGGGGCGCCACCCAGCUUAGAGACUUGGCCCCCCUCCCUUAGUAGCAAGGUGCCAUCUAGCCUACAAAAGGCUCUGGGAAAGGCGCUGCCUGUCCAUAGCCCUUGUGCCCAGUUUUUCAGCAUUUCACUUCCGUGUUUUUAAGGACAAUUUGGUCAAAUCCCACCCCUGUAUAAGCUUCUUUAACACGAGAUUCAUCAUAUUUUCACCCAAAAUAUAAGGUUUUCUCUCUAUUUUCCUCAAGAACAAGAUUAAGGUUUCUAUUGAAGGUUUAAAAUCAAAAAAAUUCCAUCGUUAAUUUUUCAAGAAUCAUAUAGUAAGGUAUGUUGGAUGUUGAUUCUUGGGUUCCUUCUACCCAAGAAGUUCAAGAAUCCCUUUUUAUAUUCAAGAUUUUAUGUUUAUGAGUUUUUCAUGAUUUAUGUGGUUUGAAGUUGAAGCCCAUGUUAAUAUUAAGUUUUAAUUCAUGUUGUGAUCAUAAAGAUGCAAGUAUGGACCUUAGUAGGUGUUUGUUAUGUGAUGUUCAUGAUAAAGUCCCUUCAAAAAGCAUGUUGAAUUAUGUAGUCAUGUUAAUUAUGUGUAUUGAAUGUUGUAUGAUCAAAGUAUGCAUUCCUCAUAUUUGAUAAAUUGCUUAUGUGAAGAAAAUAGAGUCAUUAUAGCAUGUAGACAAGAAAUUCCCAAUUUUAUGUAAGUCAAUACAUGUCAAGUGUUCAUUGUAAUGCCUAGAAGAGUGAAUUAUGAUAUGAUACAUGCAUUCCUAUUCAUGUUAAUUCCUUAUUGAAUGAGUAAUGAGACAACAACAUGCAUCCCUAUACAAUUACAUGUUUAAGACUCUCCAAGUGCUUGAAAUGAUGCUUCAUUGGGUAUAUUACGAAUGAUAGUCUAUUGUUAUGAUUAUUACGCAAGAGUUGUCAUGUCUUAUUUAUUUAUUUUUUCGAGUCCUGGGGGUAUUUAUACCCAAAAACUUAGUUACUUUUCUAGAGCCGAGUCAGUCUCAAGAUAAUCUCAGUCGUGCUAUGAUCAGUAUAUCUCAGUUAGUGGCAGAAGUUAAGUAAACACAGUAAUCUCAGUAUUCAAUCUAAUCAAGCUUAAUAUCCAGUUCAGAACUCAGUAGUAUUCAGUAAUCAGUCCAAAUUUCAAUAAAUCUCAGUAAGUUAUGAAACUCAGUGGUAUUCAAACAACAAGUAGAAUUCAGUAGUAUUCUGUCAGUCUUCGAAAUCAAGUGAACUCAGAUUAACUCAGUUACUUAGUAUAAUCAAUAGAAGAUUCAGCUCUGUCUAAGUUCAGUUAAGAAUUAGUUCAGAGUCCUUCAGUUAGGAGUAGUAACUCGUAUCGAACAAGUGCAGGGAUGAUGGCUUCCCAUUAGAGAGGUAGAGUUGUUAGCAGCAAUCCCUGAACUCCAGAAUUGUGUAGCCAGUGCAGGACCAGGAGUCACCUACUAGAUUAAGGAUUGACUAUCAUACUUCCUUAGGCUUGACUUCCUAUUCAGGGUCACCCAUUAGAGAGGCUUGACCAUAGCAGAGGUCUUUACCCAUGGCACAGUAUUGACACCCUUUCAGCUGGGGUUACAGGUUGGACCCCACCAGAUCAGAUUUAGGGCAUGUCGGAUAAGUGAGAACUCCUAUAGUUAUAGUUUCAACUUCAGAUUCAGUCUCAGUCAAGAUCUCAGAUAGUUCUUCAGAUUUAGGAUCAUCAGAUAUGGUCACACAACUCAGUAAGGAACUUAGAUAGUUUCACAGAUUCAGAGAUCACCCACUAUAUAGGCUUGAUCUCAAACUCAGUCAAUUAUUAUUAUUAUCCUUAUCAGUAUCAGAAGGUCCAGAGAUCACCCGUUAGAUAGGCCUGAUCUCAUAAUCAGUCCAUCAUUUCUAUUAUUAAAAGAUUCAGAGAUCUUCCGCUAGAUAGGUUUGAUCUCAAAUACAAUCAUUCUUUAUCAUUAUUAGUAGAUUCAGAGAUCAUUCGUUAGAGAGGUUUGAUCUUAGAUUUAGUCAGUUGAUAGUAGCAAUCUCAGAACUCAAUUAUUAGUAAGACUCAAAUAUUCAGUCUCCUAAUGCUAGUGAAUUUAGAUGUCAGUAAUAAUAAGCUCAGUUGUUAGAAGCUCAACUGUUUAGAAGUUAGUAUUUAGUGUUGUAAUGAUUUUUGUUAUGAUUAUGUAUUCAUACAUGUAUCCUCAUUCAGUAUAUUCAGAUUAUUCAGACAGUAUAGUUCAUGCACAAGCCUUUGCAUUUAGCCUUACCUCACCUAGCAUAUCAGUACAUUCAAAGUACUGACAUAUAUUUCUCUUGUGCUAUGAUGUCUUAUAACAUAGGUUCAGAAGCGCGAGAUCCAGAGCACCUAUAGCAGUCCAGACUCAGUCAGUAGCAGUAGACGUAGUAGUGAGUCCUCUUUAUUCGAGGAUGCCUCCUAUUUCAGUUUUCUAUUAGAUUUAGUUUAUUUUUAGUAGACGGAGUUAGUUGGGGACAUGUCCCAUCAACUCCAUAGAUCAGACAAUUACAGGC
rnacentral:lncRNA from 1 species